rfam:Lichtheimia corymbifera JMRC:FST:9682, FST 9682, WGS project CBTN01000000 data, contig: SCAF00098
GUUUUGGUAGCUUAAAUGGUAGAGCAUACGACUGAAGUUCGUACCGAGGAGGUUCAAUUCCUUCCCAAAACA